GACGAACGCUGGCGGCGUGCUUAACACAUGCAAGUCGAACGGUGAACGAGGGAGCUUGCUCCCUCCGGAUCAGUGGCGAACGGGUGAGUAACACGUGAGCAAUCUGCCCCGAACUCUGGGAUAAGCGUUGGAAACGACGUCUAAUACCGGAUACGACGCGGGAGGGCAUCCUCUCCGCGUGGAAAGAACUUCGGUUCGGGAUGAGCUCGCGGCCUAUCAGCUUGUUGGUGAGGUAACGGCUCACCAAGGCGACGACGGGUAGCCGGCCUGAGAGGGUGACCGGCCCCACUGGGACUGAGACACGGCCCAGACUCCUACGGGAGGCAGCGGUGGGGAAUAUUGCACAAUGGGCGCAAGCCUGAUGCAGCAACGCCGCGUGGGGGACGACGGCCUUCGGGUUGUAAACCUCUUUUAGCAGGGAAGAAGCGAAAGUGACGGUACCUGCAGAAAAAGCACCGGCUAACUACGUG
rnacentral:rRNA from 1 species